rnacentral:tRNA from 1 species
AAGGAUUUAGUUUAUAAAAAUAUUUGACUGUCUCUCAAAAGAAACUUAACUAAAGUAAUCCUUA